rnacentral:other from 1 species
GCGUCCCUGCGGUGUUCGAGAGUGUACUGGGUAUUUUCUUGAGCCUAUGUUUUAUACCCCGGGGCUGAACGUUUUUCUCCUGUGUGCAUGUCCGCGAUCCCAGCGGAAAGCCUGAGGAAGGAAAACCCAAGCUCCACCUGAACCCAUGGUUCAAGGCGAAAGUUCACUACGGCACAGGCGGGGUUCGC